UCCUGGGUGGCUCAGUAUGUUGAGCAUCUGACUUCAGCUCAGGUCAUGAUCUCACAGUCUGUGGGUUCAAGCCCCGCAUCGGGCU
rfam:Felis catus isolate Cinnamon breed Abyssinian chromosome D2, whole genome shotgun sequence.